GGAGAAGUACCCAAGUGGCUGAAGGGGCUCCCCUGCUAAGGGAGUAGAUCGUGUAAGCGGUGCGAGGGUUCAAAUCCCUCCUUCUCCG
rnacentral:tRNA from 1 species